GGAUUGUGGCUCAGCGGUAGAGCGCUCGCCUAGUUCGUGCAGGGCCCUGGGUUCAAUCCUCAGCACCA
rnacentral:tRNA from 1 species